rnacentral:rRNA from 1 species
UACGAAGGGGGCUAGCGUUGCUCGGAAUCACUGGGCGUAAAGGGCGCGUAGGUGGCGGCCCAAGUCCAUGGUGAAAGCUCGAUGCUCAACAUCGAGUCGGCCACGGAUACUGGGUUGCUCGAGCACUGUAGGGGCAGAUGGAAUUCCUGGUGUAGCGGUGAAAUGCGCAGAUAUCAGGAGGAACACCGGUGGCGAAGGCGGGUCUCUGGGCCGAUGACUGACGCUGAGGAGCGAAAGCGUGGGGAGCGAACAGG